UAAAAAUUAAACCACCCGCUAUGCAGUGAAUAAAACUGAAAGUGUGAAAAGUGUGUUACCGCCAUACAACCUGAGAAGCCACGAAGACUACUACACAUAUAUGUAAAGUGUGGAGCAACCCGGAGGAGAGUUAAGCAGAGACAUCCGAGUAACUUCUCCAUUACUCAGCAACGUUGGUGAGUUUGCACGUGUUUAGGUUACGGGUAUUAAUUCCCUGGGACUCCUUUGUCACGUGGCGUGGCGGUAAAAAUUG